rnacentral:rRNA from 1 species
GACGAACCGUGCGAACGUUGUUCGGAAUCACUGGGCUUAAAGGGCGCGUAGGCGGUUUGCCAAGUCAGGGGUGAAAUCCUGCAGCUCAACUGUAGAAGUGCCUUUGAUACUGGCGAACUCGAGGGAGGUAGGGGUGGGUGGAACUUCUGGUGGAGCGGUGAAAUGCGUUGAUAUCAGAAGGAACGCCGGUGGCGAAAGCGACCCACUGGACCUCUUCUAACGCUGAGGCGCGAAAGCCAGGGGAGCAAACGGG